UGUCUCCCUCUAAUCACCAAGGCUUAUUUCUGAUUUUCUGAAGUGACAAGGAGCUGAGUUUGGGGGAGGGAAGACUGUCAGCCAGCAUCUCCUAGGAUUGAGGGAGGAACGGAUGCCGAAAGGGAGGCCUGGCCGAUGAGAUGUAGCAGCAGAGACUCCAGGUGGGCCUUCCUCGCUUUCUUGGAACAAACAGGUUUGGCCAGAGAACAUGCACACCCCUCAGAACACAGGGCCUAGGGAAGGCAGAAGCAGGAACCUGCUCCAGAUAGGCUGCAGUUGAUGCGCUGAGGACCCAUGUUUCCUGGAUUUGGCAUCUUCUGACCCUGUAACUACCCAGUCCACACACUUCCUGCCGGGGCUGUCCAUGCUAAUGGAGCAGACAGUGGCGAGAUCCCAGUUACCAUAUGAAGAAGUCCAGAUUUGGGGGAUGUAGCUCAGUGGUAGUGUGCUUGCCUAGAAUGGGUGAGGCCCCAGGUUCAAUACCCAGUACCACGCCCAGAAAAAAAAAAAGAAGUUCAGAUUCCAGAGACCACAUGGAAAGGAACUAAGGCACCUCAGCUGACAGCUAGCAUCAAGUGCUGUCCACAGGAGUGAGCUUCCUAGAAGAGGACUCUUCUGCCCCAGUGAAGAGAUGAUACAGCCCUGGCCAACAGCUUGGCUGCAGCCUCAUGAGAGACACUGAGCCAAAACCACCCAGCUAAGCUGCUCUUGGAUUCCUGACCCUCAGAA